rnacentral:rRNA from 1 species
UACGGAGGGUGCGAGCGUUAAUCGGAAUUACUGGGCGUAAAGCGUACGUAGGCGGUUGGUUAAGUUAGAUGUGAAAGCCCCGGGCUUAACCUGGGAACUGCAUUUAAAACUGGCGAACUAGAGUUGAGUAGAGGGGAGUGGAAUUUCAGGUGUAGCGGUGAAAUGCGUAGAGAUCUGAAGGAACACCAGUGGCGAAGGCGACUCCCUGGACUCGAACUGACGCUGAGGUACGAAAGCGUGGGUAGCAAACGGGAUUAGAAACCCCAGUAGUCC